UGCGGAUUGCAUAUCAAUCAGCGGAGGAAGUUCUGAUUGGACUGGCGAAUAAACUGUCAAUAAGGCGAAACUUUCUACAACGGAGCUCUUGAUUCUGGCAUCGAUGAAGAACGCAGCAAAAUGCGAUAAGUAAUGUGAAUUGCAGAAUUCAGUGAAUCAUCGAAUCUUUGAACGCACAUUGCGCCCGCUGGUAUUCCGGCGGGCAUGCCUGUUCGAGCGUCAUUUCAACCCUCAAGCCCCCGGGUUUGGUGUUGGGGAUCGGCUCUGCCUCACGGCGGUGCCGCCCCCGAAAUACAUUGGCGGUCUCGCUGCAGCCUCCAUUGCGUAGUAGCUAACACCUCGCAACUGGAACGCGGCGCGGCCAUGCCGUAAAACCCCAACUUCUGAAUGUUGACCUCGGAUCAGGUAGGAAUACCCGCUGAACUUAAGCAUAUCAAUAAGGCGGAGGAAG
rnacentral:rRNA from 1 species